rnacentral:lncRNA from 1 species
UUAACUUGAGAUCCCAACACACUAUGAUCCAAUCUAGUAACAUCAAGAGGCUGAGAUGUCAAAUCUUGAGUAAUCUUCCGAGACUUGUUUGGAACAUACUUAAUCAGACCCGACGAAGUGUAGUCCCGCUGGUCUGAACACAAGAUUCUAGGUGCAGAGUGUCUCUUCACCCUACACAAUAUCAGAAGUGAAAACAGUUUGGAUUAAAAGUAUGCUUUACUUAAAGAUGAUCCACACUAGUAACAAUCACCAUGAAAGUAGAUGAUCACAUAACAGAUACAAAACAAUCAAUAACAGUGAAGAAAGAUAAACACUUGGAGCUUCCUCAACAGCCAAUUAAUUAAAUUCUAUCAAAGAGAUAAACUUUGAUACAGAUGCAAAAUUCAAUUGUGACAAUACAUCGAAUAAAAUUCAAAGAGGAGAAGAAGAAAAAACCAGAUUUAUGGGAUUUUAAUUUCAUUUCGGCUAUUUUGUAUAAUGAAUUGAACUAAAAUAAUUG